rnacentral:rRNA from 1 species
ACACGCAUGACACACUGCAUAUCAAUAAGCGGAGGAAAAGAAACUAACAAGGAUUCCCUUAGUAACGGCGAGUGAAGCGGGAAGAGCUCAAAUUUGAAAUCUUCAAGGUUCUACCUUGACGAAUUGUAGUUUAUAAGAAGUGUUUUCUGUUAGUAGAGGUGGCUAAAAGUUCUUUGGAAUAGGACAUCAUAGAGGGUGAGAAUCCCGUAUUUGAUCAGUCUUUCUAACGUUGUGAUACACUUUCAACGAGUCGGAUUGUUUGGGAAUGCAGUCCAAAAUGGGUGGUAAAUUUCAUCUAAAGCUAAAUAUUGGCGAGAGACCGAUAGCGAACAAGUACCGUGAGGGAAAGAUGAAAAGAACUUUGAAAAGAGAGUUAAACAGUACGUGAAAUUGUCAAAAGGGAAGCGUUUGACACCAGUGUUGUUUUUCCGAAAAUCAAUUACUAAAUGUUUUGUUUUUGAGGAGUGAUGACUUCAUCGGCUUCCUUCUCUCUUUACGAAACUUUCUGUAAUGCACUUUUCGGUUAACAAGUCAACAUCAAUUUCUUUUGUUGUAAAAGGGUAUGAGGAAGGUGGCUUUCUUUUCGGAGAAAGUGUUUAUAGCCUUGUACCUCUGCAAUCGGAGAGAUUGAGGUCUGCAGCGUAGAUCCUUCGGGGUUAGAUACAUUUGUGCUAAGUUAUAGCUUUUCAUAGACAACUUGUUGACUAUGUUAAGUCUUGUAGCUUACUCGCUUAUGCUAUUUUACCUACGCUUAGGAUGUUGAGCGCAUGUCUCUCUCU